GGGGGUGAACGGUUUCGACAACGUUUGCAGAGAAGAGUGAAGCGGGUUGAGGAUCAGCGGUUAUCUCAUUAACGCUCCGUUGAAAAAACAAGUGCAGAUACCAAGCGCACUGAUCUCGCUCUCGCUGCUUAAUUGCAGUAGAGCCAUAUAGAUCCGUCGGCCUGGAGGUGUCUUCCCUCCAGAUCCCGGCGUCGACUAGAAGACUUACCAAUCAUUUCGGUUAGCGGAAGUGAACGGGAAAUCAAACAGCUGACUAGGCCGCUAUCUCCACCGGGUCGCACAAAAGUGGAGAGGCCGAAUAGCGAUUAACGCGACUGCACCCGGAGAAUGCUCUUAUUUGUUUCGUUGGACCCGAGUUCGAUUCUCGGCACCUCCACUU
rnacentral:tmRNA from 1 species